AGCGAUCGAAAUAACGGAUCACAGACGUAUAACGAAGGCGUUCGUAACGUCGGGGAACGACUGCACGCUGCCGUGAAGAAUUACGGGCUACCGCCCUCGGACCUCUGCAAGUUAUCGCGUGUCAGGAGCGGCCGGUAGGAUCCAGAUGCCGGCGGAAAGGUUCUCCUCCCGGUCCCGACGAGGAGCCUUCGGCCGUAGGAAGGUCGGCCGCGUCCUUACCUGUGCUAAGCGUAGUCUGGCCGUCAAAAGAGC